rnacentral:rRNA from 1 species
AUUGAACGCUGGCGGCAUGCUUUACACAUGCAAGUCGAACGGCAGCGCGGGGCAACCUGGCGGCGAGUGGCGAACGGGUGAGUAAUACAUCGGAACGUACCCAGAAGUGGGGGAUAACGUAGCGAAAGUUACGCUAAUACCGCAUACGUUCUACGGAGGAAAGGGGGGGAUCGCAAGACCUCAUGCUUUUGGAGCGGCCGAAGUUUGAUUAGCUAGUUGGUGAGGUAACGGCUCACCACGGCGACGAUCAGUAGCUGGUCUGAGAGGACGACCAGCCACACUGGGACUGAGCCACGGCCCAGACUCAUACGGGAGGCAGCAGUGGGGAAUUUUGAACAAUGGGGGCAACCCUGAUCCAGCAAUGCCGCGUGAGUGAAGAAGGCCUUCGGGUUGUAAAGCUCUUUUGUCAGGGAAGAAAUCGCAGAGGCUAAUAUCCUGUGCGGAUGACGGUACCUGAAGAAUAAGCACCGGCUAACUACGUGCCAGCCGCCGCGGUAAUAC